UCAAGAUGAAUACCAGAUGACGAGUCUGAUUCGCGUCAGCGAUGCAGACACCCUUUUUUACUACCAUUCAUGCAUUUUCUGAAC
rnacentral:snoRNA from 1 species